rnacentral:snoRNA from 1 species
CUGUUCACUGGGCUUAGUUCUUUCCAUGGAGUCCUGAUCUGCCCAUCCUGAGCUAGAGAAUCGUGCCUCGUUUGGAGAUGCUCGAUCUGAGUGGACAAUGGGAUACCGUGGGAACUUUGAGUAAACAA